rnacentral:rRNA from 1 species
CCUACGGGUGGCUGCAGUGGGGAAUAUUGCACAAUGGGGGAAACCCUGAUGCAGCGACGCCGCGUGAGUGAAGAAGUAAUUCGUUAUGUAAAGCUCUAUCAGUAGGGAAGUAAAUGACUGUACCUGAGUAAGAAGCUCCGGCUAACUACGUGCCAGCAGCCGCGGUAAUACGUAGGGGGCAAGCGUUAUCCGGAUUUACUGGGUGUAAAGGGAGCGUAGUCGGCAGUGCAAGUCAGGAGUGAAAGGCGGGGGCUCAACCCCCGGACUGCACUGGAAACUGUACGGCUGGAGUGCAGGAGAGGUGAGUGGAAUUCCUAGUGUAGCGGUGAAAUGCGUAGAUAUUAGGAAGAACACCGGUGACGAAGGCAGCUUACUGGACUGUAACUGACGUUGAGGCUCGAAAGUGUGGGGAGCAAACAGGAUUAGAUACCCGAGUAGUC